rnacentral:rRNA from 1 species
GAUCAUGGCUCAGGAUGAACGCUAGCUACAGGCUUAACACAUGCAAGUCGAGGGGCAUCAGGGUGUAGCAAUACACCGCUGGCGACCGGCGCACGGGUGAGUAACACGUAUCCAACCUGCCCUUUACUCGGGGAUAGCCUUUCGAAAGAAAGAUUAAUACCCGAUGGUAUAACAUGACCUCCUGGUUUUGUUUAUUAAAGAAUUUCGGUUAGAGGAUGGGGAGUGCGUUCCAUUAGGCAGUUGGCGGGGUAACGGGCCC